UCUGGUGUAGCAGCUCAUACCUGUAAACCCAGCACUUUGAGAGGGUGAAAUGGGAGGCUUCACUUGAGCCCAGGAGUUCUAGGCUAUAGUGUGCUAUUCCAAUUGGGUGUCUGUACUAAGCUCUGUAUCUUUGGUGACCUCUUGAGAGCAGGAGACCACCAGUUUGCCCUAUGAGGGAUGAACCAACUCACGUCAGAAAUGGAGGUCAAAACUCCCAUGUUAAUCAGUAGUGGGGUCACACUUGUAACUGGCCACUGCACUCCAUCCUGGGCAUCACAAGAGACAAGGGAGACCUUGUCUCUU
rnacentral:SRP_RNA from 1 species